UGGGGAAUUUUGGACAAUGGGCGCAAGCCUGAUCCAGCCAUGCCGCGUGCGGGAAGAAGGCCUUCGGGUUGUAAACCGCUUUUGUCAGGGAAGAAAUCUUCUGAGUUAAUACCUCGGGAGGAUGACGGUACCUGAAGAAUAAGCACCGGCUAACUACGUGCCAGCAGCCGCGGUAAUACGUAGGGUGCAAGCGUUAAUCGGAAUUACUGGGCGUAAAGCGUGCGCAGGCGGUUUUGUAAGACAGAGGUGAAAUCCCCGGGCUCAACCUGGGAACUGCCUUUGUGACUGCAAGGCUUGAGUGCGGCAGAGGGGGAUGGAAUUCCGCGUGUAGCAGUGAAAUGCGUAGAUAUGCGGAGGAACACCGAUGGCGAAGGCAAUCCCCUGGGCCUGCACUGACGCUCAUGCACGAAAGCGUGGGGAGCAAACAGGAUUAGAUAGCCCUGGUAGUCCACGCCCUAAACGAUGUCAACUGGUUGUUGGGAAGGUUCCUUCUCAGUAACGUAGCUAACGCGUGAAGUUGACCGCCUGGGGAGUACGGCCGCAAGGUUGAAACUCAAA
rnacentral:rRNA from 1 species